rnacentral:rRNA from 1 species
AACGAACGCUGGCGGUGGGCUUAAUACAUGCAAGUCGAACGCGAAAAUUCCUUCGGGGAUGAGUAGAGUGGCGCACGGGUGAGUAACACGUAGGUGACCUAUCCUUAAGUGGGGGACAACCAGGGGAAACUCUGGCUAAUACCGCAUGUGAUAGACAAUUUUGAAAUUAGUCUAUGAAAGGUGGCUUCGGCUAUCGCUUGAGGAAGGGCCUGCGGAUCAUUAGCUUGAUGGUGGGGUAAUGGCCUACCAUGGCUACGAUGAUUAGCUGGUCUGAGAGGAUGAUCAGCCACACUGGAACUGAGACACGGUCCAG